ACGUCAAGUCCUCAUCGGCCCUUACAUCCCGGGCUACACACGUGCUACAAUGGCAGGUACAGAGGGCUGCGAAGCCGCGAGGUGGAGCGAAUCCCAGAAAACCUGUCUCAGUCCGGAUUGAAGUCUGCAACUCGACUUCAUGAAGGCGGAAUCGCUAGUAACCGCGAAUCAGCAGGUCGCGGUGAAUUACCGUUCCCGGGCCUU
rnacentral:rRNA from 1 species